rnacentral:rRNA from 1 species
AUUGAACGCUGGCGGCAGGCCUAACACAUGCAAGUCGAGCGAGCGGCGGACGGGUGAGUAAUGUAUGGGGACUGCCCGAUAGAGCGGGAUAACUACUGGAAACGGUAGCUAAUACCGCAUACUAUCGGAUAACCCAUAUGGGAUUAGCUAGUAGGUGCGGUAAUGGCUCACCUAGGCGACGAUCCCUAGCUGGUCUGAGAGGAUGAUCAGCCACACUGGAACGGAGACACGGCCCAGACGCCUACGGAGGCAGCAGGGGGGAAUAUUGCACAAUGGGCGCAAGCCGGAUGCAGCCAUGCCGCGUGUAUGAAGAAGGCACGAGGGUUGUAAAGUACUUGCAGUCGGGAGGCGUUACCGACAGAAGAAGCACCGGCUAACUCCGUGCCAGCCGCCGCGGUAAUAC